rnacentral:rRNA from 1 species
CAGCCGCCGCGGUAAUACAUAGGGGGCAAGCGUUAUCCGGAAUUAUUGGGCGUAAAGCGUGCGUAGGCGGUUUAUUAAGUCUGACGUGAAAGACCACGGCUUAACUGUGGAGGGUCGUUGGAAACUGGUAAACUUGAGUACGGUAGAGGUAAGUGGAAUUCCAAGUGGAGCGGUGGAAUGCGUAGAGAUUUGGAGGAACACCAGUGGCGAAGGCGGCUUACUGGGCCGGAACUGACGCUGAUGCACGAAAGCGUGGGGAGCAAACAGGAUUAGAUACCCUGGUAGUCCACGCCGUAAACGAUGAGCACUAAGUGUCGGAUGCAAAUUCGGCGCUGCAGUUAACACAAUAAGUGCUCCGCCUGGGGAGUACGGUCGCAAGACUGAAACUCAAAGGAAUUGACGGGGACUCGCACAAGCGGUGGAGCAUGCGGUUUAAUUCGAUGCAACGCGAAGAACCUUACCAGGUCUUGACAUCCCGCUGACAGCCCUAGAGAUAGGGUCUUCCUUCGGGACAGCGGAGACAGGUGGUGCAUGGCC